rnacentral:lncRNA from 1 species
CCAACUGUUUUAUUGUAGACUGUGUACAUUAAAAAAAAAAAAAGCAAUAGGCAGCAGCAUUGCUAAGGGGGUAAAUCAGGUGCACAAAAUGAAAGUGCUGUCAGGGUUUAGAGAAGGAAAUCAUCCUAAGAUAGUGACAGAAUGAGGUUAACAAUAGAACUAAGUCUCAAAAUGGAAUUGACCAAAUAUUUAUUAAGCCCCAAGUGACACUAUGGGAGUGGAAAGAUGCAUCAUGCAGUCUCUGCCUUCCAGGAAUGGAUAGUCUGAUAGGAGAGACAAACAUUGAACCAAAUGAAUGUGGGCAGAUUAAAAAGUAGGUAGAUUGGAAAUAGAAUGCAUCAGGGAGAAAUCCUGUGCAUUGUAAAGGAUAAAUGGGGGACUGCAGGAAAUGGGAAAAGCAAGAAAUGACACAGCUGAAAGGCAGGGUACAGGGGAAAGAAAAACCAAGCAAGAGGACUGAGAACAUGCCAGAGCCCAAGGCUUGGGUCUCAAACACCCCACUACAUGAUUUCCACUUAACCAUAGUGUCCUGGAUACUGACUCACAGACUUUGAAAAACUUAGGGUUUCCAAAGGAAACAGGUUGGGGGGUGGGGGGAAUGGGCUGGGAGUUUGCGAUGGAAAUGCUAUAAAAUUGGGUCAUGAUGAUCGUUGUACAACUAUAAAUGUAAUAAAAUUCAUUGAGUAAUUUAAAAAUCUGUAAGUGUCCUGGGAAUUCUUCAUGGGCCUUGGAGAGAGAAGUGGAGGGCAACAAAGGCACCAAGUUUUCCUGCAUUUCUUCAGUUACCCACUGGAAAGCUAAUUAACAUCACCAAGCCUCAACUGUCACAUCUGUUAAACUGGGAUAAUAAUAGUUUCUAUUUCUGAGGUGUUGAUGAGGAGAUUAAAUGGAAUAUUCUGUGCAAAGCCUUUAAAGUAGUUUCAAAGGGCCAGUAUUGAGAAACUGAUGAAUAUUUAGCUACUUUAGUCAGAGAUAAGGAAUCUCUAGUCAAGAAAUUAGUCAAGUGUUGGAGGAAGGGAAAUUGGGUGAAGGGGGUUAAAAAAGUGUGCAGAAGUUAAAAGUCCUCUGAGGAGUUCCUGUCGUGGCGCAGCAGAAACGAAUCCAACUAAGAACCAUGAGGUUGUGGGUUCGAUCCCUGGCCUCGCUCAGUGGGUUAAGGAUCCAGUGUUGCCGUGAGCUGUGGUGUAGGUUGCAGAUGGCUCGGAUCUGGUGUUGCUGUGGCUGUGGCAUAGGCCGGUGGCAACAGCUCUGAUUCAACCCCUAGCCUGGGAACUUCCAUAUGCCGUGGGUGCGGCCCUAAAAAAGACAAAAAUAAGUCCUUUGGGUUCCUGCUGUGGCACAGUGUGUUAAGAAACCCACUGCAGAGGCUUGGGUUUCUGCAGAGGUGCAGGUUUGAUCCCCAGCCUGGCACAAUGGGUUAAAUGAUCUGGCAGUGCAACUACAGCUUGGAUUCAAUCCCUGGCCUGGGAAAUUUCAGUUGCCACAGAUUCAGCUAUUAUAAAAAAUAAAUAAAGAUAAAUCCUGGGGAUGUAAUAUAUAAUAAGGUGACUAUAGUUAAUACAGUUUUAGGGAGUUCCCCUUAAGGACUUGAUGCAUUAUCGAUCAGGAUGCAAAUUUGAUCCCUGGCCUCACUCAGUGUGUUAAGGAUGGAGCAUGUCACGGGCUGCAGCAUAGGCCAGCAGCUGAAACUCCAAUUCAACCCCUAGCCUGGGAACUUCCGUAUGCCGCGGGUGCAGCCCUAAAGAGCAAAAAAUAAAUAAAUAAAAAUUAUAUAUUCUCAUUAUUAAAAAAUUAAUCCACUCAGAGAGGUACAAAGAAAAAAUUAGUGUAUCUCCUGAAGUUCUACCACUUAGAAAAAAAAAUCGAUGUUAACAGUGAUCAUAGUUCUGGAUAUUACUCUGUGAUGGGGGGAGAGAGAAUCAAGAUAAGGGCAGAAAUCAUUUUAUAGAAUGGAUUGUGCCACACUGGCUAUUUUUAAAAUAUAAAGAGCAUUAAAUUUUAUUAACUUUAGAAAUUUCCCCCAUGGCACAGUGGGUUAAGAAUAAGACUGCAGGACUUCCCACAGUGGCUCAGCAGUAAUGAACCCAACUAGUAUCCAUGGAGACUCAAGUUCGAUCUCUGGCCUUUCUUAGUGGGUUAAGGAUCUGGCUUUGCCGUAAUCUGUGGUGUACGUCGAAGAUGUGGCUCGGAUCCCGUAUUGCUGUAGCUGUGGUGUAGGGCGGCAGCUGUAUCUCUGAUUCUACCCCUAGCUUGGCAACUUCCAUAUGCUGCACCUGUGGCCCUGAAAAAAAAGAACAAGACUUCAGUGGCUUCGGUCCUGACAGGGGUGCAGGCUCAAUCCCCAGCCCAGCACAGUGGGUUAAAGGAUCCCAUGAUGCUUCAGCUGCAGCUUAGGUAACAGCUGUGGCUCAGAUUCAGUCACUGGCCUGGGAACUUCCAUAUUCCACAGAUGUGGCUAUAAAAAUAAAUAAGUUUUGGGGGGUGGGGGGAUGUGCCUGGGCUGUGGGAUGGAAAUCCUGUGAAAUCAGAUUGUUAUGAUCAUUAUACAACUACAGAUGUGAUAAAUUCAUUUGAGUAAUAAAAAAAUAAAUGUUUUAUUAAUUUAAAUACAAAAAAAACUUACUGAAUUUUAGAAGAGGUGUUAAUUCUUUUUGAAAAAAAAAAAAACCCUCUUAGCAUGCAAUAUAGUUUUCCAUGAGAUGAACCUACCUAAAUAGCAUAGGAACAGGAAAAAGAAAAAAGUGAUACAGAACAAUUGCCAUAAAGACCCUUUCUGCUUACAUUUUUGAACCUUAAAUGUAAAAAAUCCUUAGGAGUUCCCUGGUGGUCUAAUGGUUAGAAUUCAAUGCUUUUACUGCCGUGUCCUGGGUUCAUUCCCUGGUCUGGGAACUGAGGCCCCAACCCCACAUCAAGCUACUGCAUUCUGCAGCCAAAAGAAAGAUGACAAAAAUCCUGCAGACAUCCAGACAUAAAGAAGCCUCCAGGUUUCCCUGGUGCCUCAGUGGUUAAGAACCUUGUGUUAUCAGUACUGACAAAUCUGAGCCUCAGAAAGAAAGAAAACGAAGCCUCCAUGUGAAGACAAUACAGUGGGGAAAAAUAAGGUUUUCAACAAAUGAUACUAGGGCAUGUGGAUAUCUACAUGCAAAAGAAUGCUUUUGGGAGUUCCCGUCACGGCUCAGUGGUUGAUGAAACUGACUAGUAUCCAUGAGGACACGGAAUUGAUUAUUUGAACUUUAUCAAAAUUUAAAACUUUUGUACUUCAAUCAAUACCAUCAAGAAAGUGAAAAGGAAAUUCCCAGAAUGGGAGAAUAUAUUUGUAAAUCUUGUAUAUGCUAAGGGACUUGUAUCUAGACAAUUUAAAGAACGCUUACAUGUUAUAAAAUUAGGUUGAUGGUUGUACAAUUAAAUAUAAUAAAAUUCAUUGAAUUUAAAAAUCUCUUAAGACUCAAUAGUAAUAACCCACUUUUUAAAUUUUAUUUUAUUUUAUUGAUUGAUUGAUUUUUUAGGCCCACGCCUGCAGCAUAUGGAAUUUCCCAAGCUAGGGUUCCAAUCAGAGCUACAGCUGCCAGCCUACACCACAGCCACAGCAACACCAGAGCCGAGCCAGGUCUGCAACCUACACCACAGAUCAUGGCAACGCCAGAUCCCCAACCCACUGAGUGAGGCCAGGAAUGGAACCCGCAUGCUCAUGGAUACUAGUCAGAUUCAUUUCCGCUGUGC